AGCCCGGUCGUCUAGCGGCCAACGGGAAAACCCGGCUAGGGAUGCGGGGCUCUGGACCCCGUGGCCCGGGUUCGAAUCCCGGCCGGGCUA
rnacentral:tRNA from 2 species